UACGUAGGGUGCAAGCGUUAAUCGGAAUUACUGGGCGUAAAGCGUGCGCAGGCGGCUUUGCAAGACAGAUGUGAAAUCCCCGGGCUUAACCUGGGAACUGCAUUUGUGACUGCAUGGCUGGAGUGCGGCAGAGGGGGAUGGAAUUCCGCGUGUAGCAGUGAAAUGCGUAGAGAUGUGGAGGAACACCGAUGGCGAAGGCAGCCCCCUGGGCCAAUACUGACGCUCAUGCACGAAAGCGUGGGGGAGCAAACAGG
rnacentral:rRNA from 1 species